AGGGACAAGACUAGAAGGAGGGAGAUUAAGAAACUUACAAAGCCCAGGCAACAAGUGAUUGAGGAACCUGGGGAGCUUCACUAGGACUGGAGGGUGAGGGAGGCUUCAGGUGACUGCCAGGUGGCUGACACUGGUGCUGCACGAACAGGUCACUGAGAGGAAGAGCAAGCCAGAGGAGGAGGGGUGGGGGAUGCGGUGAGACGAGUUCAGCUUUGUCCCUUCUGGGCCGGGUGUGCGUGGAGAUGGGUCUGGGCCUGACGUGAAAAGGCGUGCGCUGCCCUGCUCCUGGGUAACUGCUGCCUCUGUCCUGUUCUUCCCUCUGCUGCCUUCCUCUGGACUUAGAUCUCGGCAAAAGUGCAUGUCUCAGAGGUAUAUGGUGCCUGCCGGGGCAGCAGGCCUGAAGGUGGGGUAGGGCGGGGAGGCAUUUGGUGUGCAGCAUCUGGGGUGCCAUCUCCCUGGGAUCCCUGCAUGUUGGGGAGGUUGCUGGCAUGGGCCUGGCCACCUCUCAGGUCUCUCCUUUCCUCCCAAUUCCCAUCUCCCUCUGCCCUCAGCCUGGACUUAUCCGAAUUGGCCAAAGCUGCUAAGAAGAAGCUGCAGGCGCUCAGCAACCGGCUUUUUGAGGAACUUGCCAUGGACGUGUAUGACGAGGUGGAUCGAAGAGAAAAUGAUGCAGUGUGGCUGGCUACCCAAAACCACAGCACUCUGGUGACAGAGCGCAGUGCCGUGCCCUUCCUGCCUGUUAACCCAGAAUACUCAGCCACGCGGAAUCAGGGGCGACAAAAGCUGGCCCGCUUUAAUGCCCGAGAGUUUGCCACCUUGAUCAUCGACAUUCUCAGUGAGGCCAAGCGGAGACAGCAGGGCAAGAGCCUGAGCAGCCCCACAGACAACCUCGAGCUGUCUCUGCGGAGCCAGAGUGACCUCGACGACCAGCACGACUACGACAGCGUGGCCUCUGACGAGGACACAGACCAGGAGCCCCUGCGCAGCACUGGUGCCACUCGGAGCAACCGCGCCCGGAGCAUGGACUCCUCGGACUUGUCUGACGGGGCUGUGACGCUGCAGGAGUACCUGGAGCUGAAGAAGGCCCUGGCUACAUCGGAGGCAAAGGUGCAGCAGCUCAUGAAGGUCAACAGUAGCCUGAGCGACGAGCUCCGGAGGCUGCAGCGAGAGGUGAGGGUGCAGCCUCGGUGGGAGGGGGAGCCCCAGGACUCCAGGGGGUUGACAGCACUUUGCACCCAUAGAUCCACAAGCUGCAGGCGGAGAACCUGCAGCUCCGGCAGCCUCCAGGGCCGAUGCCCACACCUCCACUCCCCAGUGAAAGGGCGGAGCACACACCCAUGGCGCCAGGUGGGAGCACACACCGCAGGGACCGCCAGGCCUUCUCCAUGUAUGAACCUGGCUCCGCCCUGAAGCCCUUUGGAGGCCCCCCUGGGGACGAGCUCACGACACGGCUGCAGCCUUUCCACAGCACUGAGCUAGAGGACGACGCCAUCUAUUCAGUGCACGUCCCUUCUGGCCUUUACCGGAUCCGGAAAGGGGUGUCUGCCUCAGCUGUGCCCUUCACUCCCUCCUCCCCGCUGCUGUCCUGCUCCCAGGAGGGAAGCCGCCACACGAGCAAGCUUUCCCGCCACGGCAGUGGAGCCGACAGUGACUAUGAGAACACGCAAAGUGGGGACUCACUGCUGGGGUGAGGCUCCCUGGGUCUCCAGUCCAGCCUGCUCACAUGCCGAGGCGGGGAGGUUGAGAGGGCCCCCAGUGUGUGAGGACCAAGGCGGGCGGCUCCGAGGCUGGAACGUGUCUUUCUCUAUAUAUAUCUUUGUCUCUAUUUUCCGGACCUGGGCCUCAGGCUGGAAGGGAAGAGGUUUCUAGAGCUGGGCAAAGAGGAAGACUUCCACCCAGAGCUGGAAAGCCUGGAUGGAGACCUAGAUCCUGGGCUUCCCAGCACAGAGGAUGUCAUCUUGAAGACAGAGCAGGUCACCAAGAACAUUCAGGAACUGUUGCGGGCAGCCCAGGAGUUCAAGCAUGACAGCUUCGUGCCCUGCUCAGAGAAGAUCCAUUUGGCUGUGACUGAGAUGGCCUCCCUCUUCCCAAAGAGGCCAGCCCUGGAGCCAGUGCGAAGCUCACUGCGGCUGCUCAACGCCAGCGCCUACCGGCUGCAGAGUGAGUGCCGGAAGACAGUGCCCCCAGAGCCUGGCGCCCCAGUGGACUUCCAGCUGCUGACUCAGCAGGUGAUCCAGUGCGCCUAUGACAUCGCCAAGGCUGCCAAGCAGCUGGUCACCAUCACCACCCGAGAGAAGAAGCAGUGACCUCUCUCCCCACACCCUCACCUGCACCCUAGGACCUCACUGGCCAUAGGAGCUGGGCCACUCCAGACAUUAAUCCCCACCCCAACAGAGCCACUGGCACAAGUGCCCUUAGUGCUGCCACUCUCCCUGGCAGCCAGGUGCCCUGGUGCCCACCCCUGUCGACCCCUAAGGAUGGGGAGGUGGGGGGGCAGGAGCUUCUGUCCCCCACAUUCCACGCACCUCCCCUCUGUAUAUAGCAUCUCUCCCCUCCUAGUGAGCAGGGGCCUGCAAGGCAUCACUCCCAGCCCCUCGCCUUCUAGGGCACCCUCAGCAAAGGGGCAGGUGGGGACACUCCAGGUGGGGCAGCUCUCCGUACAUGCACCCCACCCCCAUGAGCCAGUUCAGCCCUAUUGGGGGCUGAGUGGGGGCAUCCCCUCCUUUGUACAUAGUCUCCAUGGAUGUCCCUGCCCUGUAGCCACCAGCCCCUUGCUGCUCUCCCUUUAAUGCCAUAUGGCCCCUGCCUAGGGCACAGGCCCCAACCUGUGUGCUGGGGUCCCCAGCAGCAAACACUGGAAAGUCUUUUUUUUUUUUCUUUCUUCUUCCCCACCCCUUAAUUUUAACUUUGUGGUAACUGAGUGCCCCUGCGUGCCUGCGUGUUGAGUGUGUGGGCGGCAGUGCCGUUCCGGAGGCCUGGUCCAUCUGGAGUUUUGAGGGGUGAGGGGACCAGAGCAGUGGGACCAGCAUGGGGGUCUGCUUCCCUUCCCCACCUGGAGCCAGGGACUGUCCGGGUAGCCAGUUUUGGUCCUGCCCGCUGCCUCCCUGAUCCCUCUCCACUCUCGCCCCUUCUCUAUGAACUUAAAUCAAAAACCACUUCCCUCCAUCUCCUCCUGCUCCUGUGUGGAGGGGGAAUGUGUGCUGGCUAGGGUGGAGGACUGAGCACCUGAGCCUGGGGCUGGCUCCCCGGGGUCCCCGACUCAGCUGGUGGCUGUGGAGCUGAGUCCCCUCCCUGUAACCUCUGCAAGGCCAGCACCCACCAUCACUACCUGCACCUGCUGUGGUCCCACCCUCUGGAGGCCUGGGAACCUGGCUGCAGCCUGGGAAGGCUGGAGAGGCAGACGGUGGGACCCACCAGCUCUCUCCCCAUCCCGCUUCUUCCCUGGGGGCCAGGCCCUACCUGUGUGGUGGUGGGUGGGCUGACUGUCAAGACGUGUCAUGUACAUUUGUAUCAAAAAUAAAGAAGUGACCAUGA
rnacentral:sRNA from 1 species